CCUUUUCCCGUCGCGCUCUUUCUUUCUUAUCUUUGCCAACACGCCGGGGUUUGUUGCGUAAGCGGUGCCGGCAGCGGCGUUCGAACCCGUCGUGCACAGUACACACCCUAAAAGAGGAGUGCGCUGUUCCGCGUGCAGCAGGAAGAUGACAUGCGAGCGGCGCUGAACACGUGGUGAAGAGAAAGAAGAAGCCGCCGCCAACUCGAACCGCGGCCGUUGCAAGCAGGCAAGUUUUCCACAGCGACGCUAGAGCCUCUGGCACGGCUAGUACGGUUCCGUGUGUGCCUGCAGAUGCGAGAGGGGGCGUCAGUACUAACCUUAGCCUCUCUUCUCCAACGCGUCGUGUGUGUGUUCAAAGAGUCGUCGUGGACGUGUGCGGCGCGCGUCUGCAGUCAUAGCGGGAAACGACGCCGUUCGACAACGGGAGCUCCAGCUGCAGCGCUCCGCCGGACGCCCGUCCUGCUUGUGUGUGUGCGUGUGUUUAUUACGUCGGCAGAGGUACGCAACGGACGCCACGGGUUCCCGCCGCUUGACACGUCGGAGCCAUGCGCUACGGGCGGACGAGACGGGGCAGCUUUCCGAGUUCGGUUCUCUCCGUUCUCCUGGUCGUCAUCACAGCACUUGCUACCGCCAAAGGAAGCCGGAUCCGAGUCUCUACUCACGACCUGGAAUGGAAACUUGGCGAUUCGUCGGGAUUUCAAGUCUUCAUCGAG